AACGAACGCUGGCGGCAGGCCUAACACAUGCAAGUCGAGCGGAUCCUUCGGGAUUAGCGGCGGACGGGUGAGUAACGCGUGGGAAUAUGCCCUUCUCUUCGGAAUAGCCUCGGGAAACUGAGAGUAAUACCGUAUACGCCCUUUGGGGGAAAGAUUUAUCGGAGAAGGAUUAGCCCGCGUUGGAUUAGGUAGUUGGUGGGGUAAUGGCCUACCAAGCCUACGAUCCAUAGCUGGUUUGAGAGGAUGAUCAGCCACACUGGGACUGAGACACGGCCCAGACUCCUACGGGAGGCAGCAGUGGGGAAUCUUAGACAAUGGGGGCAACCCUGAUCUAGCCAUGCCGCGUGAGUGAUGAAGGCCUUAGGGUUGUAAAGCUCUUUCAGCUGGGAAGAUAAUGACGGUACCAGCAGAAGAAGCCCCGGCUAACUCCGUGCCAGCCGCCGCGGUAA
rnacentral:rRNA from 1 species